rnacentral:lncRNA from 1 species
AUUUCAUUCAUCAUGUAUAUUUCAUAUAUAGUAUAUUUAGGCAGGGUCUCGCUCUGUUGCCCAGGGUGGAAUGCAGUGGCACAAUCACUGCAGCCUCUACCUCCCAGGCACAAGCAAUCCUCUCACCUCAGCCUCCUGAGUAGCUGGGACUACAGGUACGCACCAUCACACUUGACUAAUUAAAAAAUUUUUUGUACAGACAGGAUCUCACUAUGUUGCCCAGGAGUCAAACUGCUGGACUUAAGCAGUCCUCUUGUCCCAGCCUCCCAAAGUGCUGAGAUUAUAGGCUUGAGCCAUCACACCCAACAGAGGAUACUUUUUCUGGCUGUUCUGCACCACAGCCUCCUUGGAUGGGUAGAAGUGUGUUCAUUUAUCAUCUAGCACAUAGGCUCCUGAAACAGGAGGAAUAAUGUUCAAACAUGAUCAAAAGGAGUAUACAUCUCACACAGAGAAGCUGGGUUUGGAGCUGUUUUAACUGAAUGUGACUGAACAUGGUCUUAAUUUGUAAAAGAAGGCAGGUUUUGAGUUAUUUAAAAGAUGCAUAUGGGAAAAAUUUUCAACCUUGUGCACGUUGGGAUUAUGAACAUGUGUCUGUGCACAGGUAUAGGUGUGCAUGAGCCCUUGAAAGUCAAAGCAUAGGCCAGGAACAGUGGCUCACACCUGCAAUCCCAGCACUUUGGAAGGCCAAGCCUGGUGGAUAGCUUGAGUCCAGGAGUUUGCCUAAGUCAGGGAGUUUGAGACCAGCCUGGGCGACAUGGGGAAACUCCGUCCCCAUAAAAUAAAUAAAUAAUUUUUUAAAGUUAAAAUUAAAAAUUAGAAAAAAAGAAAGUCAAAGGGUGGACUGCAGUGAGCAUUUAUUGUUUUUGUCUGGCCAGCAGCCCAAAUGCCUUUGGAGAAAAGUUACCCGCAACUCUAGUCGUGCAAUACCAAAGAAGGCACCAAUCAGAUCACCUUGCACGUGUGGCCACAGGACUGGGCAAACAAUCCAGGCUGAUAACAGGUUUUUGUUUGUUUGUUUUUUGCUGUUGUUGUUUGUUUUGUUCGUUUUUGUGACAGAGCGAGAUCCUGUCUUAAAAAGUAACAAAAAACCUGAAUCUGACCGAGUUUCUAGAUCAACAUACCGAUUUCACAGAAAUACAAGGGACAAAGGAACAUGUUAAAACACACCAUGGGAGUUAACACAAAUACACAUACGUUUGCAUGCUUGUAUGCAUGUACAUGUAUAUGUCUAUACAUUAUUUUAUAGACAGUCAUGUGGUGCUUAAUGAUGGGGAUGUAUACUGAGAAAUGUGUCAUUAGGCAAUUUCAUCAUUGUGCAAACAUCCUAGAUGGUAUAGCCUAUUACAUACCUAGGCUGCAAACCUGUAGGGCGUGUUACUGUGAUGAACACUGUGGGCACAAUGGUAAGUAUCUGGGUAUCUAAACAUAGAAAAGAUACAGUAAAAAUAUAGUAUAAAUGAUUAUAAAAAAUAGUACCCCUGUGUAGGGUACUUAGCACGAAUGGAGUUUGCAGCACUGUAGGUUGCUCUGGCUGAGUCAGUGAGAGGGUGGUGAGUGAAUGUGAAGGUCUAGGACAUCAUUGUUCACUACUGUAGACUUUAUCAACACUGUACACAUAGGCUACACUACAUUCAUUUUAUAACAUUUCUUUCUUCAGUAAUAAAUUAACCUUAGCAUACUGUAACAUUUUUGCUUUAUAAACUUUAAAAUUUUUUUAACUCUUUUUUUUUUUUUUUUAGAUAGAGUCUUGCUUUGUCAUCCAGGCUAAGGUGCAGUGGUGUGAUCUUGGCUCACUGCAACCUCUGCCUUUCAGGUUCGAGCAAUUCUCCUGCCUCAGCCUCCCGAGUAGCUGGGAUUACAGGUGCCCACCACCACGCCUGGAUAAUUUUUCGUAUUUUUAGUAAAGAUGGGGCUUCACCAUGUUGACCAGGCUGGUCUUGAACUCCUGACCUCAGGUGGUCCGCCCUCCUCGGCUUCACGAAGUGUUGAGAUUACAGGCGUGAGCCACCGCGCCGGGACUUUUACUUAACUUUUUGACUCUUUUGUAAUAACACUUAGCUUAAAACACAAACACAUUGUACAGCCAUACAAAAUAUUUCUUUCUUUACAUCUUUAUUCUAUAAGCGUUCUUCUCUUUUAAAUUUUUUUUAACUUCUUAAACUUUUUUGUUAAAAACCAAGACACACUUAAAAAUAAAGUAAAAACUAAGACACAAACAUACACAUUAGUCUAGGCCUACACAGGGUCAGAAUCAUGAAAGUCACAGCCUCAGCCUCCCGAGUAGCUGGGAUUAUCUUCCACCUCCAUGUCUUGUCUCACUGGAAGGUCUUUAGGGUCAGUAACAGGUAGGGACCUGGCAUCUCCUAUGAUAACAAUACUUUCUUCUGGAAUAUCUUUAGAGGAAACUGCCUGGGGCUGUUUUGCAGUUAACGUUGCUUUUUUUAAUCAAUAGAAGGAGUAUGCUUUAAAAUAAUGAUAAAAAAAUGUAGUAUAGGCCAGUAUGGUGGCUCAUGCCAGUAAUUCCAGCACUUUGGGAGGCUGAGGUGGGUGGAUCACCUGAAGUCAGGAGUUUGAGACCAGCCUGGGCAACAUGGUGAAACCUCAUCUCUACUAAAAAUACACACACACACACAAACACACACACACACACCCCCAAAAGUAGCCGAGCAUGGUGGCAGGCACCUGUAAUCCCAGCUACUCAGGAGGCUGAGGCAGGAGAAUUGCUCGAACCCGGAAGGCAGAGGUUGCAGUGAGGUGAGAUGGUGCCACUGCACUCCAGCCUCAACAACAAGAGUGAAACUCUGUCUCAAAUAAAUAAAUAAAUAAAACUUUAGGCCGGGCGCGGUGGCUCAAGCCUGUAAUCCCAGCACUUGGGGAGGCCGAGACGGGAGGAUCACGAGGUCAGGAGAUCAAGACCAUCCUGGCUAACAUGGUGUAAACCCCGUCUCUACUAAAAAAUACAAAAAACUAGCCGGGCGAGGUGGCGGGUGCCUGUAGUCUCAGCUACUCAGGAGGCUGAGGCAGGAGAAUGGUGUAAACCCGGGAGGCGGAGCUUGCACUGAGCUGAGAUCCGGCCACUGCACUCCAGCCUGGGCAGCAGAGCGAGACUCCGUCUCAAAAUAAAUAAAUAAAUAAAUAAAACUUUAAAAAAGCAUAGUAUAGUAAAUGCAUAUACCAGCAACAUUGCUUUUUAUUAUGAUUAUUAUAUAUUGUAUAUGCUAUAGUUUGAUAUGAAUGGUGGUACAGUAGGUUUGUUUAUGCCAGCAUCACCACAAAUACAUGAGGAAAGCCUUAUGCUACAACUUUUUGACAGCCACGAGGUCACUAGGCAAAAGGAAUUUUUUAGCUCCAUUAUAAUCUUAUGGAUUGUCAUCUAUGCAGCCCACCCAUGACCAAAAUGUCAUGUGGCACAUGCCUGUAGUGUGCAUAUAUAUUUCUUUUCUAAUUACAUGUGUGUGAGUUCAGAUACUGAAAGAGCUCCAUAUCAGUGAGCAGGCCUAGU